rnacentral:rRNA from 1 species
UACCGAGGUCCCAAGCGUUACUGAGAAUCACUGGGUUUAAAGGGUGCGUAGGUGGUCCGUUAAGUCAGUUGUGAAAUCCCCGGGCUCAACCCGGGAACUGCUUCUGAUACUGGCGGACUUGAGGCCAGUAGGGGUCACUAGAACUGACGGUGGAGCGGUGAAAUGCGUAGAUAUCGUCAGGAAUGCCGGUGGUGAAGACGGGUGACUGGGCUGGUUCUGACACUGAGGCACGAAAGCGUGGGGAGCGAACGGG